rnacentral:lncRNA from 1 species
AUCCAACCCAUCUUCUCUGCCCCAGAACACAGCAAAAUAAAAUUUAAGAGAAAACAAUGAAAAAAAGGGGGAGAAAGGGAAAAUCUCAUCAUGGAAGCUGCAGUGUGAAACAGUGUAUCCAUAAUUUCACAAUGCUGGGCCCUCACUGAAUCUCUUCUUGGACAUCGUGUUGCUUCCCUGUAUCAUGGAGAUCCUGCUGCUCUGGGUCCUUAAGACUGGCCCCAUCUCUACCCCAUCCCCACCCCAUAGGGUGAAUGUCGAGGUGGGUCAACACAUAAUCUUUGUUCUUGGCCUGCAUAGUUGCAGGGCUGGUCAGCCCUCCAGCUCUCCCCUCUCUUCACCACCAGAGUGAGCUCUCUUGCAUUUCCCUGGCUAGUUCACCACUUGCAGGGAAGAGCAAGAUGCAGGGCAGGUUCUCCAGCUUUCACAUCCUCAGGGUGAGUUUCCCCACACCAAUACCUUUAAGGUCAGAUCUACUGUGUUGUCCAGGCAAGGUGCAUGGUCAAUCUUCCUGAAGCUGCUGAGGGGAUAGAACAGCUCUCCUGCUCUUAAGACCUCAGGGCGAGCUCUUCUCUUGUCUCUGGCAUUUACGGGCCUGGGGUAAGGGUUGGGGUCUACUAUGCUGCCCAGGUAAAGUGCAGGGUCCACUUUCAGGAGAGCUACAGAUGGAAAGGGGGAGGGUCAGCUCCAUUGCCUACUACAGGUGGCAGGGUCAAGGGGACCGAUAUCUUUUCCACAUGGCAGAUGAGGGGGUGUGGCCAGCUAUCUCUCUCUCACAGCCCCCAGUCUAUCUUGUCCACACCUCUACCAACAGGUUCAGCUAUGAUGUGCUACCUAGGCCUGGAGCAGGGCCUGCUUUCCUGAGUGUCACAGCUGCUGAGAUGGAGGGGUACCAAUGCCAUCUUCUGACUUCCCUUGGAAAUAAGCAAGCAUGUGUUACACAGAGAUACAUACAGGUCUGCAUAUCAGUUUAUUAAGAUGGAAUCGCUGCUAAUUACAUGGUAGAGAAGCUAAUUGCCAUAAUCAUUGUGGUUCUCCAGAAUACACAUUGGAAUCAAAUGGUUUAAAACCACAAGGAACUUUUCCUGAUGCC